rnacentral:rRNA from 1 species
ACACGAAUAGCUUGCUAAUUGUGUUUCUAGUGGCGGACGGGUUAGUAACACGUGAGCAACCUGCCUCGAAGUGGGGGAUAGCCUUUCGAAAGGAAGAUUAAUACCGCAUGUAACCUACGGGUUAAAGAUGCCUUCGGGUGUCGCUUUGAGAUGGGCUCGCGGCCUAUCAGCUUGAUGGUGAGGUAACGGCUCACCAUGGCAACGACGGGUAGCUGGUCUGAGAGGACGAUCAGCAACACUGGAACUGAGACACGGUCCAGACACCUACGGGUGGCAGCAGUCGAGAAUCAUUCACAAUGGGGGAAACCCUGAUGGUGCAACGCCGCGUGGAGGAUGAAGGCCCUAGGGUCGUAAACUCCUGUCAUAUGAGAGUAAGGCAUAUGUGUUAAUACCACAUAUGUUUGAUAGUAUCAUAAGAGGAAGGGACGGCUAACUUCGUGCCAGCAGCCGCGGUAAUACGAAGGUCCCGAGCGUUAUUCGGAAUCACUGGGCGU